rnacentral:tRNA from 1 species
AUUUAAAUAGUUUAAUUAAAAUAUUGAUUUGUGGGGUCAAAGUUGUAAUUAUUUACUUUAAAUA